GCCAACGGCCAUACCAGUCUGAAAGUGCCUGAUCUCAUCAGAUCUCAGAAGUCAUGCAGACUUGGGCCUGCUUAGUACUUGUAUGGGAGACCAACUAGGAACCUCAGGUGCCUAUUCA
rnacentral:rRNA from 1 species